GGCCGUGUGGCGAAAUGGCAUCGCGUCUGACUACGAUUCAGAAAGCGCAUCAGGAGAUUGCAGGUUCGACCCCUGUCUCGGUCA